GACGAACCGUGCGAACGUUGUUCGGAAUCACUGGGCUUAAAGGGCGCGUAGGCGGUUUCCCAAGUCCGGGGUGAAAUCUUUCGGCUCAACCGGAAAAGGGCCUUGGAUACUGGGAAACUGGAGGGAGGUAGGGGCAGCUGGAACUUCCGGUGGAGCGGUGAAAUGCGUUGAUAUCGGAAGGAACGCCGGUGGCGAAAGCGAGCUGCUGGCCCUCUUCUGACGCUGAGGCGCGAAAGCCAGGGGAGCAAACGGG
rnacentral:rRNA from 1 species